rnacentral:rRNA from 1 species
GAUGAACGCUGGCGGCGUGCCUAAUACAUGCCAGUCGAGCGAACAGACGAGGAGCUUGCUCCUCUGACGUUAGCGGCGGACGGGUGAGUAACACGUGGAUAACCUACCUAUAAGACUGGGAUAACUUCGGGAAACCGGAGCUAAUACCGGAUAAUAUAUUGAACCGCAUGGUUCAAUAGUGAAAGACGGUUUUGCUGUCACUUAUAGAUGGAUCCGCGCCGCAUUAGCUAGUUGGUAAGGUAACGGCUUACCAAGGCAACGAUGCGUAGCCGACCUGAGAGGGUGAUAGGCCACACUGGAACUGAGACACGGUCCAGACUCCUGCGGGAGGCAGCAGUAGGGAAUCUUCCGCAAUGGGCGGAAGCCUGACGGAGCAACGCCGCGUGAGUGAUGGAGGUCUUCGGAUCGUAAAGCUCUGUUAUUAGGGAAGAACAAAUGUGUAAGUAACUAUGCACGUCUUGACGGUACCUGAUCAGAAAGCCACGGCUAACUACGUG